AUCAAAUCGCAGUGUGCUGGGAACUGGGUUGGACUUUCUCAGAUCAGUGAAAAUUACGCUUUCAAAAGUAGAAGAGCUAUAAUGAAAGAUAUGGUGGCUGUGUUGCAGCAGGAGAUGCUCUUGAGAGUUAGUAGGCUGGGGGUUUAUUCGCCCCACAAAUAUUGAUUGAGCUCCCUUGCCUUGAACGGUGAUUGGAGAAGAAGGCAGAGGGCAAGGAAAAUGAAGAACCCAUCAAGAGAUUCCAGCAUUAUAAAUGAAGUUCUUCUGGAAGAAAUGAAUCAAUCAAGAUGGUGGUUCUGUCUCUAAAAGUCAAGAUCUCAUCAGAUUUAGAUUUGUAAAAUUAGGUUUCUAAAAACUCCAGAUGGGCGCUUUAGUUCCAGCCUCCUCUUCGCGAGUCUUUGUCGUGCCAAUCACCGUGGGGAUGACAUGCAGAUAAAGAUAAGGUUCUCCUCCUUGAAGAGUUUACUAUCUAGCAAGGGUAUAUAAGCCAAUUUUACUAUGAUCUCUGAAUGGAGUUAUUCUUAUGCUGUGAGCGUAUACUAACAGGAUAGCCAAAUAAAGCAACUCACUUGCAGCUCUCUUUGCUC
rnacentral:lncRNA from 1 species